rnacentral:rRNA from 1 species
GACGAACGCUGGCGGCGUGCUUAACACAUGCAAGUCGAACGGUAAGGCCCUUCGGGGUACACGAGUGGCGAACGUGUGAGUAACACGUGGGUGAUCUGCCCUGCACUUCGGGAUAAGCCUGGGAAACUGGGUCUAAUACCGGCUAGGACUACGGACUGCAUGGUCUGGGGUGGAAAGCUUUUGCGGUGUGGGAUGGGCCCGCGGCCUAUCAGCUUGGUGGUGGGGUGAGGGCCUACCAAGGCGACGACGGGUAGCCGGCCUGAGAGGGUGACCGGCCAGACUGGGACUGAGAUACGGCCCAGACUCCUACGGGAGGCAGCAGUGGGGAAUAUUGCACAAUGGGCGCAAGCCUGAUGCAGCGACGCCGCGUGAGGGAUGACGGCCUUCGGGUUGUAAACCUCUUUCAGCAUCGACGAAGCGAAAGUGACGGUAGGUGCAGAAGAAGGACCGGCCAACUACGUGCCAGCAGCCGCCGUAA